rnacentral:rRNA from 1 species
AAUCGAACCAUCUAGUAGCUGGUUUCCUCCGAAGUUUCCCUCAGGAUAGCUGGAGCUUGUAGUACAGUUUUAUCAGGUAAAGCUAAUGAUUAGAGGAUGUUGAGUUGAAACAACUUGCACCUAUUCUCAAACUUUAAAUAGGUAAGAAGCCGUUUGAUAUAAUCUUGAUUGAUCAUCGGCCUCGAAUGGAAGCUCUUAGUGGGCCAUUUUUGGUAAGCAGAACUGGCGAUGCGGGAUGAACCGGACGUUUGGUUAAGGUGCCCAACUGGUCACUCAUCUAGAUACCAUAAAAGGUGUUGGUUGAUCUGGACAGCAGGACGGUGGUCAUGGAAGUCGAAAUCCGCUAAGGAGUGUGUAACAACUCCCCUGCCGAAUGAACUAGCCCUGAA